rnacentral:rRNA from 1 species
AACGAACGCUGGCGGCAUGCCUAACACAUGCAAGUCGAACGAGACCUUCGGGUCUAGUGGCGCACGGGUGCGUAACGCGUGGGAACCUGCCCCUAGGUUCGGAAUAACUCCCCGAAAGGGGUGCUAAUACCGGAUAAUGUCUUCGGACCAAAGAUUUAUCGCCUUUGGAUGGGCCCGCGUUGGAUUAGCUAGUUGGUAGGGUAAAAGCCUACCAAGGCGACGAUCCAUAGCUGGUCUGAGAGGAUGAUCAGCCACACUGGGACUGAGACACGGCCCAGACUCCUACGGGAGGCAGCAGUGGGGAAUAUUGGACAAUGGGCGAAAGCCUGAUCCAGCAAUGCCGCGUGAGUGAUGAAGGCCUUAGGGUUGUAAAGCUCUUUUACCCGGGAUGAUAAUGACAGUACCGGGAGAAUAAGCUCCGGCUAACUCCGU